GUCCCAGUAGCUCAGUGGAUUAGAGCGCUUCCCUGCGGAGGAAGAGGCCGAGCGUUCGAAUCGCUCCUGGGAUA
rnacentral:tRNA from 1 species